rnacentral:miRNA from 1 species
GGAGGAGACAGACCUUAUUUGAUGUAUCCCUUAUUUUUGAUAUAUAUAUAUAAGGGAUACAUCAAAUAAGGUCUGUCUCCUCCCA